GACGAACGCUGGCGGCGUGCUUAACACAUGCAAGUCGAACGAUGAAGCUGGAGCUUGCUCCGGUGGAUUAGUGGCGAACGGGUGAGUAACACGUGAGCAAUCUGCCCUUGACUCUGGGAUAACUGCGGGAAACUGUAGCUAAUACCGGAUACUUUCCCUGGUGGGCAUCCAGUGGGGAAGAAAGAAUUUCGGUCAAGGAUGAGCUCGCGGCCUAUCAGCUAGUUGGUGAGGUAAUGGCUCACCAAGGCGA
rnacentral:rRNA from 1 species